AGAGUUGAUUCUGGCUCAGGAUGAACGCUAGCGGCAGGCUAACACAUGCAAGUCGAGGGGCAGCGCGGGGUAGCAAUACUCUGGCGGCGACCGGCGAAAGGGUGAGUAACGCGUGAGCAACAUGCCCGGUACUGGAGGAUAGUCGAUGGAAACGUCGCGUAAUACCCCGUAACAACAGGGACCGCAUGAUCCUUGUUUAAGAGAUUUAUCGAUAUCGGAUUGGCUCGCGUUCCAUUAGCUAGUUGGCGGGGUAGCGGCCCGCCAAGGCGACGAUGGAUAGGGGUUCUGAGAGGAAGGUCCCCCACAUUGGAACUGAGACACGGUCCAGACUCCUACGGGAGGCAGCAGUGAGGAAUAUUGGUCAAUGGCCGAGAGGCUGAACCAGCCAUGCCGCGUGCGGGAGGACGGCCCUAUGGGUUGUAAACCGCUUUUUUGUGGGAGCAAUAAGUCUUACGUGUAGGACGAUGAGAGUACCAUGAGAAUAAGCAUCGGCUAACUCCGUGCCAGCCGCUGC
rnacentral:rRNA from 1 species